rnacentral:rRNA from 1 species
ACUCAAAUGAAUUGACGGGGGCCCGCACAAGCAGCGGAGCAUGUGGUUUAAUUCGAAGCAACGCGAAGAACCUUACCUGGGCUUGACAUGUUUCUGACCGCCGUGGAAACACGGUUUCUCUUCGGAGCAGAAUCACAGGUGGUGCAUGGCUGUCGUCAGCUCGUGUCGUGAGAUGUUGGGUUAAGUCCCGCAACGAGCGCAACCCUCGUCGUAUGUUGCCAGCAUUAAGUUGGGGACUCAUACGAGACUGCCGGUGACAAACCGGAGGAAGGCGGGGAUGACGUCAAGUCAUCAUGCCCCUUAUGUCCAGGGCUACACACGUGCUACAUUGGCGCAUACAGAGGGCAGCGAUACCGCGAGGUGGAGCGAAUCCCAUAAAGUGCGUCUCGGUUCGGAUUGCAGGCUGAAACCCGCCUGCAUGAAGGUGGAGUUGCUAGUAAUCGUGGAUCAGCACGCCACGGUGAAUACGUUCCCGGGCCUUGUACACACCGCCCGU